rnacentral:lncRNA from 1 species
AUUAUUAUUAUUGUUGUUGUUGUUAAUAUAUCUUAUAAAUAUGUGUUAAUGUUCUAGUUUGUUCAUGUUGUGUUAGAUGAGAAAUUGUUGUUGAAUUUUGGGAGUUAGGUUCUAGCGAGUGAUGAAUUAUUGUUAGGAUUAGGUUGUUUGCUUCGUCGAAUUUGUUAGCAUUUAAAUUUCUCCAAAUUUUGGGUGUUGUUGUAGUUGUGGGAAGAUAACAAGGGACACAAGUAUUAGGGGAUUUGCUUGUGAUGAAUUUGGUGGGAAUUUCCACUUUUGUUGUUGCAGACCUCAUAAUGAGCUGCUUGAUUAAGUGGUUAGUAGAGAUAAUAGGGAUAAGUGUGGACUAUAAAAACCUGCAGUUCCACAUGAAUGUUUUGUAAGGAAACCGUGGAGGUUUCCAUUUAAUUCAGUUAUGUAAUUUGUUGAAACUAUCAGUUGUGAGCUAAACUUUCCUGCUCAAAAGAGUGCUAUGGACUUUCAUUGCUGAACUUACUUUGUGUUAUCUUGAAUGGGAUGUUUUCUACUCAAUAAUUGAGUUGAUACCAUACUGGAUAAACUUAAAUAUUCAUUUCUUGCUCUGCCCAAUUCCCCUGCCCCCACCCUCGCCCCCNNNNNNNNNNNNNNNNNNNNNNNNNNNNNNNNNNNNNNNNNNNNNNNNNNNNNNNNNNNNNNNNNNNNNNNNNNNNNNNNNNNNNNNNNNNNNNNNNNNNNNNNNNNNNNNNNNNNNNNNNNNNNNNNNNNNNNNNNNNNNNNNNNNNNNNNNNNNNNNNNNNNNNNNNNNNNNNNNNNNNNNNNNNNNNNNNNNNNNNNNNNNNNNNNNNNNNNNNNNNNNNNNNNNNNNNNNNNNNNNNNNNNNNNNNNNNNNNNNNNNNNNNNNNNNNNNNNNNNNNNNNNNNNNNNNNNNNNNNNNNNNNNNNNNNNNNNNNNNNNNNNNNNNNNNNNNNNNNNNNNNNNNNNNNNNNNNNNNNNNNNNCAACCCCCAACCCCUUUCCAAGUCAUUUAAAAGCAUUACUAGAUUCACUUGCGACUGAUCAACUGAUACAUGGGAUACUGAGAAGUGGAAUCAAUAGACUGAUGAGCAUAACUUCCGCAGGAUCUUGAUUGAUCAUGUGAAAUGCUGUUGAGCCGAAUAUUUGUAAAUGGAGGGGAAAAAUUAUUUCUACAGUCGAGUUUUCUUAAAUUGAUUAUUGACCAGAUAAUUUUUGGUGCAGUUUGAUGUCUAUUCCAUAAAUAAAUGUGAAAUGAGGGCCAGAUGAUUUUAUGUUAAUGAUCUGCAUGCUAUAAAUUCCUCACCAGUACUCAGAAGAUAGUGUAGUUAUUAAAAAUGUUACAGUGUCCUAUACAUUUAUGGACGAUAUGAUGCCCUAUUCUAUCAUAUGCUGCUUCAACUCGGAGGAGGAAAGGAUCUACACUGCAGCAUCUGAUAUUUUUUACAGCAACUGGGAGGAUUCUGCUCUGCAGCAUCUGAGAUUAACGACACCUUUCAGCUUUAAUUCUGCAUCAGAUUAGGUACGAUGUGGUUAAAUUCUUGGAGUUUUACUUGUGAAUUUAUUUUUGAAUCUUAUAAGUUAGAAGCAUAUAGAUAAGUUAUCUGACCUCCGAAUGCGAGAGAACAAAAUGAUUUUGUAACAUCUGGUUAGUCUUAUUUCAAGUUGUUAAAGAGCUAGGCGUUCCUGCUAGUUAUCCUGGUAGGAAAACAAGAAGGUUUAUAUAUAUUGUGAAGAUUUCAGUGCCUCCUUAUGUUCUGGUUAGUCUUAUUUCGAGUUGACACAGAGCUACCUCCUAACUAUCCUGGCAGGAAAGAGGUUUACGUAUAUCGUGGAGAUCUGCAGCUCCCCCUUAUGUUUUUUUGUAGAUUUUUUCUCUUAUAUAUGGUGGUUCAAUGUAGUGUAUCAUGCUUUGUUAGUUGAAGGAUCUUUUCAACAACUACUUGUCCCUAAGGUUAGUAUGAUUCUUCUUUACAUAUAGAGAUGCAAUUUCUAGAAUGUGUUUGAUUUUACCGUUUCUUUUCAAACUCUGCUACCUCUUUAAGUUGCUAAAGUUUUCAUUACAUCUAAACUAUUUUUUUCCUGUCUGAUAUACUAUUUUUACACGCCGGCUAGCAAAUAUGCCUCCAUCAUCAAUUUUAACUCCAUGAGCUGGCUGAUUUUCUUUCUGCAUUAGUUUCAUCUAAUGUAAUCAUCUGGAAUAGCAAAUGGUGCAAGACUGCAUAUCUGGUAGAAGCUCAUAAUAUAAGGAAUUGCAGAAUCUAGAAUCUUUAAGCUGUGAUUGAUAUUCUAUUUACUUCCUACUUUCUAUGUUGCCCGAACUCUCCAAAAUGCUACCAUAUCCGUGUCGGAUCCUCCAAAAAUGUACUUUCUUUUGGAGGAUCCAACACGCACCUGAUCGCAUUUUAGGAGAGUCAGAGCAACAUAGCCUACUUUACAACACAAUUCAUAUACUCUCGGAGAUCCAUGGGAUAUUCAAAGCCAAGGGCUACUAAACCCUGUCAUAACACCAGACAGAUGCUUAGCAAAGGUAAUGUUAUUGCUCUCUGCAUGCCUAUGAAUCAAGUUAUUCAUCUUCUCUCAUGUUAAUCUUGUUGUAUCUGUCUCUGUUAUACUCGUAAGAAAAGUAUUUGUUGCAAUCAUGGGAGCAAUAGUGGAGCCAGAGUUUUAACUAAGCAGGUCAAAAUGUAAAGAAGUAACCUCAUGAAGGGGGGGGGNNNNNNNNNNNNNNNNNNNNNNNNNNNNNNNNNNNNNNNNNNNNNNNNNNNNNNNNNNNNNNNNNNNNNNNNNNNNNNNNNNNNNNNNNNNNNNNNNNNNNNNNNGGGGGGGGGGGGGUGUCAAUAUGUCGAAUGUAUACAUACAUUUUUGUAACCCGAUGAAGGGGUGUCUUGAGCCACUGCAUGGGAGCAGGCACGCCAUUUCCGCAUUAUAAGACAGGGACCUGCUUGUUGCAUGAUCUCUUUAGAUUUUGGAACAAGUUUCAGAUGUUACUCUUGCUAAUAUAGUGUUUCGUAAUGAUUAUCACAUAUGUAAUUUCAGUUUUAGUUGUCAAAUCAGCUAUUAGUUGGUAAUCAACUGCAGGAAGAUAAGAAUGUAUCUACAAUGGCAAGAUGGUUAAAAGAAAAUAGUUAUCCACUAAAUAUUAUUCAUAAAAAAUGGAUUGGAUAAUUGAACUUUUUAGAAACAGAUCAAAUAUGGAUAAAAAUCAUAUUAUCUACUUAGAGAAUGGAUAACCAAUGGAUAAUUAAUAGGUCAAAUUUGGAAGACUAGUAAUUCUUCCAAAAGUGAUCAUAUUCAAGAAGUCAUGGAUAAUAAGGAUAUCCAUAUUAUCUAUUAGUUAAUUUAUUUUUUAUUCAUAUUAAAUAUAAGCCGGGUUGGAUAAUUUAUUCAUUUUUGUAUUACUCCUUUUCAACUUGCCCAUAUCUGAUCUAAUCCGCCCGUUUGCCACCCCUAGUAUGAUAUUAGCCUUGAUCACAUAAUUAUGUGUGUUUGGUCUCAUAUAUAGUUGCUUGCUUCAAAGAGAGCUUUUCAUUUCAUGACAAUCUCGUUUGUUUCGAAUAUUUUUGGAUGUUAUAGCUAAAUGCUGUUAUAGAGAACAUAUAUUAUUAUAAUGUAAACAUGUUACCUUUUCAAAAAAAUAAAAAUAAAAUAAAAUUGGUUCCAGAGAAGCUUAGCUUUUAUAGUGAAUAUUGUUAUAUAGGAAUAUUGUUAAAGAGAGGUUUGACUGUAAACAAAUUAAAAUAACACUAUUCUAAUUUUAUAUUUUUUUCAAGAUUUGUAUUCAAAUUAUGUUGAUAGUAUUAUUACUAUUAUCCAUACUUUGUUUUUGGGUAAAAAUCUCAUGCAAAAUGAUCCAAAGAAAGAAAGAAAUAUUAUUUGAAAAAGUCUCUCUCUCUCUCUCACACACACACACACACAUAUGUCAUGAUCCGGAAUUCCCACUUUCGGGAUCAUGAUGGUAUAUAACAUUUCACUUGCUAGGCAAGCAACAUUAAAGGAGCUUUAAGCCAAUUUUAAUCAAUUUCAAUAAGUAAAAUCAAUAAAGCCAAAAUGAAACUAAAACUGGGUGUGGUACAACAUAAAAACCAACAAUAUUUAAGUACAAUCCAGAUCUGGAAUCACAAGUUCAUGAGUUUCUAGAGUUGAUACAUACAAAGUUUGAAAUAAGUAUAACUGUCUCGAAUGAUAAGAACAAAAAUAGGGGGAAGGUGGAAUGGGGCUUCAAGGUUUGCGUCCGCCAGCAGAUCUACAUUGAGUCAUCAAAAGCAAAUCCUAGCUGUUACGCCUUACGAAUAGUCGGGACCAGUACCAAAAUUUACAUAAGAAGUGUAGAGUGUAGUAUGAGUAUAACCGACCCAAUACACUCCGUAAGCGUCGAGCCUACCCUCGACGAGAUAGUGACGAGACUAUGACAUGACACCAACAUAAAUAAACUUAUGCAGGUAACAAUAUACGUACAAUAUAAUAACAAUAAAGACUAAACAUGUAUUAUUGUGAGGGAACAUGAAAAAGAGUGUAAAAAUAUGGUUACUACAAUAGAGAAUGAUCAUAAGAACAAUCGGUAAACUUUCAGCAAAUGAAGCAGAUAUACAUAGUGAGCAAAAACUAUACAACAUCAUUCUUCGUGCUUUCACUUUCAACCUCACCAUGAAAUAGUAAUAGUGGCAUGGAAUUACCCUUCGUUCUUACUCUCAACCUCACCAUGAAAUGAUAAAUACGAUAUGACAUCACCCUUCGUGCAUUAACACUCAAUAUCAUCAUGAAUCAAUAAAUGCGACACUGCAUCACCCUUCAUUCGUUAACUCUCAAAUAUGGCACGACAUCACUCUUUGUGCGUGAACUCUCAAAUAUGGCACGCUAUCACCCUUCGUGCAUUAACAAUCUCCCUUAUCAUAUAACAACAGGGAGAUAGAAUCAAUAAGAACAAGCCUUAUGUCAACAGUGGUUUCACAAUACCAACCUCAACUUCAGAAACAAUACUCAAUUAUCACAUUUAAUACAUAAACGCGGAAAGAACGAUCAAUUUAGUAAUUAACUAGCCUAAGUAUGGAUAUCAUGAUUAAAUAACAACAACAACCCAGUAUAAUCCCACUUAGUGGGGUCUGGGAAGGGUAGUAUGUACGCAGACCUUUUUGCCUUAGUGAGAAGUUUUUAUAGCCACACAAAUGGUAUGACUCUACAAACUUUUUACCCCUUAAUCUUUUAAGACCACAAGUUUUAAAGUCUUUUUUUUUCUUAAACUCCGUGCCGAGUAAAACUACCUCAAAUAAUAUAAAAUGGAGGGAGUAAUUAGAAAUUAGAUAUCACAACUAUGCCACGGAAUCGCAUCCUCAAUUUUUUGUCUCCUUCCAUGCUACUAGCGGUCCAAUUAACGAGACUAAGAAUAAACAACAACAACAUCAAAAACAAUCCAGUAUAAUACCACUUAGUGGGGUCUGUGGAGGGUAGUGUGUACGUAGACCUUACCCCUACCCUUGGGUAGAGAGGCUGUUUCCAAAUAGACCCCCGGAUCCUUCCCUCCAAGAACUUCCCACCUUGUUCUUGGGGAGAUUUGAACUCACAACCUCUCGAUUGGAAGUGGGAGUUGCCUACCAUCAGAGCAACCCCUCUUGUCUGAUAUCAUGAUUAAAGAAAACAAUAAAUUAGAAGAAACAAGUCCUACCCGCAUGCUUUAGCCCAACAACAACGCAUAAGUAUUUGUCACCUCACAUAUACGAUGUACCCAACAUCUAAACAAGUUGAAAAUAGGCAAAAAAGUCAUAAUCCCUCAAGCCAAAUUUAACCACGAUACUUACCUUGCUCCAUAAAUCAACUCAAAGCUCAAGCAUAGCUUUGCCUUUCAAACAAGCAUACGAACCAACCAAAUCUAGCAAAUUAUGAACCAAACGAUUCAAAAUAAGCCUUAGGGACUAUCCACAAAUGAAAAAGGUUAAAUGUUUAUCAUUAUUGAAAAGUCAACAAAAGUCAACUUCUGGAACCGCUUGGUCGAAACUCGAAAUCCGGACCAAAAUCCAACCCUUUCACUUCCCGAGCCCGGUUAUGUAAUUUAUUUUGAAAUCCGGCCUCAAUUUAAGGUCUAAAUUUCAGUUUUAUAAAAAAACCCUAAUUCUACCCAAUUUCCACCAUGAAUAUCCUAGACUUUAGGUUUAAAUCUUAUGAAAUGAAAUGGAAGAUUGAAAGAAAAUAUGUUAGAAGCGCUUACCAAUGAAUUGAGGAAGAAGGGAUCUUGGGAGAAGCGCUUCUAGGAUUCAGUAGGUUUGAAAAUUUGAAAAAAUGAGAAAAUUCCCAUUUAACUCAGCUGUUGACAAGUAAUAGAUUUCGCAAUUGCAACCUGGGAUUUGCAAUUGCGAACCCCCGCAAAUACCUUCAAUUGCAAAGCCUUCGCACCUAUGCUUUCAUUGCAUUUGCGAUGAAAUGUUUGCAAAUGCGAACUUUGGUCCACCGUAAAUACAACCUUUUGAUCGCAAUUGGGAUCCUUUGCCGAUCCUGCCAUUCUUUGCAAUCGCGAAGAAGUGGUCCGCAAAUACAAAGCUGACAAGGAUUUGAUUUUUCGCAAUUGCGAGCACGAUCCUCGCAAUUGCGGGAUCAGAGACCAGCACCAGAACCAGAUACACCAAUUAUUUUCCUAAGUCCAAAACUCACUUCGUUGCCCAUUCAAAACUCAUAUGAGCCAUCAGGGCUCAAAAUCAAACAUGCACACAAGUCCAAAAAUAAUAGACAAACUUGCUCGCUCGAUCAAAUCGCCAAAAUAACACCUAGAACUAGGAAUAAGACACCAAAUCAAAUCAUUUUUUUAAGAAAACUUUAGAAUUGCUAUUCUAAAAACCGGAUGUCCAUAUCACGUCAAACUAACUCCCUUUUUCAUCAAAUUCGACCGCCAAGUUAUAAAUAUAGUAAUGGACCUAUAUCGAGUUUUGUAACCAAAAUACAGAACCGAUAUCAACAAAGUCAAAAAAUGGUCAAACUUUUAGAUUCAUUAAGCCUUUAAACUUUAAAUUUUCAACAAAAUACGAUAACUCGAGCUAGGGACCUUAUAUUCGAUACCGGGCAUACGCCCAUGUCUCAUAUCACAAUACAUACCGGGACCAUUAAAAUAUGGAUCCAGAUUUGUUUGCUCAAGAUAUUGACCGAAGUCAACUCAAUUGUAUUUUUAAAGACAAAAUUUUAUAUUUUUUCAAAUUUUAACAUAAAAGCCUUCCAAUCCGAACUGUACAUGCAAAUCGAGGAAGACUUAAAGAAGCUAUUGAAGACACCAAAACACAUAUUUAAAGUUCAAAAUCCUAAACAAGAUAUAAAUGAUAGAAAUAGCAUAUUUGGGGAAGGAUUCACUUUAAUAUUCUUUUUGUAUUGUUUGGGUCGGGUAAUUCCUAUGAUUGUUUAUUAGAUUGACGAAAACAAAGAAAUAUGAGCAGAUACUAACUGAAAGUUGCAUUUUUCGGUUAUUAUAGUUUUUGUGUAAUUUAGUGAAAGUUUUAUAAUUUUUGUAUGAAAAAAAUAUAAUUAUAUGACUUGAUGAAAAAAGUCAUCUUAAACUCCUAAUAGUACCAUAUGUAAAAUUUGUCCUCGGUUGCAUCUGUCUACGCUAAGCACCUAAUACUACUCAUUCCAAAACUCUAUAUCAUUUUAAAAAAACUUAAUGUUGUACUUGAAUAUUCAUUCAUUUGUUAUUUAGUUUUGCUCUACUAGAUAAACUUGACCGCUUAAGUUCAUCGUAGUACGUGUUUAUUCUUAAAACCGGAUAACAAAUUAAAUUUAUAAGUGAUUUUAAGAAUAUGUAAUUUCAUUUGGCGCAAACCGAGAAACAUGAGUAUGAAUGUUAAAUAUUAACUAUAAAAUAAAUCAAAUCAAUAUAAUAAGUAGUUAUGGCGUUCGAACUAGAUUGCCCUUGAACCAACAGAGUAUGCCAAUAAAAAGUAUGGACUUUAGGAGAGAAAAUGUAAUGUAUUUCUUUGUUAUGCGUGAAUAUGAUGAUUACAAAAUGAUUAGGACCCCAUUUAUAUAGUGUCGAUAUUCAGUUUGUCCCUCAUAUAUUUUUAAAUAUGCAUAUAUAUAUUUUCAAAAAUAUUGUACAUGCAUUUACAAACGUGCACAAAUAUUUUUUCAAUUUUUCUAUAAUUUUUAAAGGCAUCAAAUCAAUUUAUUUUUGUAUUUUUAAUUAUAAAUAUUCAGAAAUUAUCCCUUAUAUCAUUUUAUGAUGAUUUAAUCAUCUAAAUUCAUCAUUUAUGCUCAUAUAAGAGUUCAAAAUUUUUAAUUGCAUUUACAUUUACAUUUUUAAGACUAUAAUUACAUAUUUUGCAAUAGUAGCCUAUGUUUGCAUAAUUACUAUAUUUUGCAAAAAAAUAAUAUUUUAUAUUUUUAUAAUAUCAAAUAAUAAUUUUAAAUCGUUUUUAUGCAUAAAUAGAAUUUUUUUGUCAUUUAUUAGCUAUUUUAUAAAUUAUUUAAUAAAUUAAUUGGAUAUUUAACAAAUUACCUCUUUUAGUUUUGUUUUAUUUCGGUAGUCCAAAUUUUACCCCCAACCAAAUUAAAUUUACAACCAUACCCUGAUCAUUUUUUGAAAUCGCCUAACCCUCAGAUCGAAUCUUGGUCGUUGAUCUCAAAAGGUCAACAGUCCAUGAUCAUUUGCCUUUUUUAAUUACACCUACUACCCCUAAACCCUAGUCAUUUAUCUAAAUCUGCUGCCCAUGUUUUUCUUUUCUUCUCCGUUCUCUCUGAAACUAUCCCUAACCCUAUCCACUGUCACUAGAAACCCUACGUUCCAUGUGGUUUCCCUGUGAUUUCAGGCCCCAACCGACCUCUUAUCUUCACUGGGUAUUCGACUUCCAUGACUAUUUGAUGAAAUCUCAAAAGGAUUCGGGAAAAUAUUGUUCAAACACUUCAUUUUCUUUAUGAAUCCAUCUAUGUUCAUCUUUGUGUUUGUGAGUAAUGUUAUCUUUAUGUUUAUGGCUUCAAAUUUCUAGUUCAAAUUAAAUUUUACCACCUCUAUCUAUUUAAAAAAAGCCCAGUUACUUUCUACUUGAGCCAGUUCAGAUUUCUAUAGAUCUGAAGAGAUUUUGAGUCUAUUUGAUACUUUUAUUCUAUUUUUACCAUCAUUAUUGGCCGAUUUUCAUUUUUCUAAAAGCUAGGGUUUCAUCUUUAAGUUUCUACAAAAGUUCUAAAAAUCUUUAAGUGUUUAAAUCCGAUACUCUUUACUUGUUCGAUUGGUUUUCAUAUCUACAUUUUAAUCCCCAAGGCUUCUAGAUAUUCUACUGUUUGUUAUGAUAUUUACCCAUUAUUCUUUGGCUCCGACAAUUAAAAGGGUUUAAUUGAUUUUUAUUCGCUUAAUUAGGGUUUGGAAUUCUAUUUUCUUUUAAAAGUGAUAUCUCUUUGAUGAUUUUACUUAUUCUUUUCAUUUUUGACUCGUGAUUGGAACUACUUUCCUUAAUUAUGUUACUAGCACAAUUUCUGGGUUCUGAUUGUUUUAACCGACCUAUAAAUGGUCUUUAGAAUUAUUGCUCACCUUAUUUAACUUCAAUCCUGCCUGUUGAUUGAUUUUGUAUGAGAUUUUCCCUAAAUUAAGUGAUAUUUUCCGAAUUAUGUCUUAUUAAUUGAUUAUGUUUAGCCAUAAUUGACUGGUUAAUUGAUUUGCAUACUUUAUCUAUGUGAUGUUAAUUUUCCUUGCCUUAUUUGUUUACUCUCCUGAAUGCUAUAUAAAACUUCCACCAUUCUCAUACACUUACACGAACACAUUCAGAAAGUUGCACUAACACACAUAAACUCUUAUUCACACACACACUCACCAUUGUGAUUUUUUUGUUGCUUGUGCUUGUUGCAUUGUCUAGCUAGCUAAAAGUCAAGGCUAGACUACUGGACUCUACUUGUUCUCAUCCUCCUGUUUAUUAUCUCUUAACUGGUAUGUCUCAACUUCUGCCAUCACUCAACAUGCUAUUCCAUUAGACCUAUGUGUUUCAUGCUUAUUCUAUUAGACCUAUGUGUUUCAUGCUUAUUGAUCUUAAUCAGCAUGCCUACUUCUAUGUAAUUAGACCUAUGUGGUUCAUGUUCAUUAAUCUUGAUCAUCAUCCCUACAUACAUGAAUCAUUUUUAGCUUGUCUGCCUCUAUGUAAUUAGUCCUAUGUCUAUUUCUUUCUCAAUUAGCAUAAUUUCUGUCCUAAAGCUACUAGAAACUGUGUUUGUUUGACUGCAUAUAAACUGACGAGGUUCAGGAAGUGACAAAAUCAGUAGGCAAACUGAUUAGUUAUUUUGCUGCCUCACCUCAAUAAAACUGCCGCAUACUUUGUGCCCAUAUAGAUAUCCUACAAUAGGACUUUAAAUCGUUUAAAACUAUUUGUUUGAGGCAUGCAAUUGUUUGUCUAUUUGUGGAGGUAAAUAUGAGCCUUUAAUUGUAUCUUAAUGUGAUAGUCCUGUUUAACUUUUGUUUGUCGCUUAGUUUUCUUUUUUAAACAAUAUAAGUGAGUCUAGAACUUCCUUAAAUAGAGGUCCUAAAUACCUCCAAGGCCACAUGUAAGGGACGGGAUGCACGUAUAACACACAUACUGGAUACUAUUAGAAUGCCUAGGUGCUAAUAAUUGAAGGGAGGGUAAUCGGGUAGCAAAGAAUAUGAUGACAUGUGUGCUAAUGCUAUGUGUAGCACCCCAACUUGGGGACGAUUACCAAGUAUUUCACAUGAGUGAUCCUAUAGGCUAAUAAACCUAGGACCCCAUUUAUUCCUGUUUGAAUAAUCUCUAUUUUGUUUAAAUUGCUUUGUUUGCUUAUAUGAAUAAUUCAUUUAAAUUAAGUUUGGCCAGGACCUAUCGUUGUGGACCUCGAGGGAUGCCUAAGACCUUACCCUCAAGGUUAUUUCGAGCCCUUACCCCAUCUUUGAUAAUCCAAAUCGGUUUAUGAGUUAUUUUCUUUAGGUGCCCUUAUGCACCUUAAAUCCGUUAGGUGGCGACUCUUCAAUUUCCAUAGCCAAUUCCCAAAAGGAAAUGAGUUGUCCUAAAGAAUGUCGAAACCCUGACCCCGCAAGGAAAAAGGGGGCGCGACAUCAUGACGCCUCUGUUGGGGAUAUCUUUAGGCUCUUACCAUAACGAACUUGUUUGUAAAUUAGUCUGUAAACAUGUCUUUAUCAUUCCGCUAAUACUUGUACACCCCUUUCCAUUUUAUGUGAAUUUAUUUUCCUAUCUUUACUCAUUUAUGAUCUCCCUCCCAUGCUUUAUCACUUUUACUAUGGAAACUGACUUGUCUCCUUGUUUUUCAUUUCUUAAAUGUCUCUACAAUUAUUAAAUACCGCGUUUAAUCAUUAGUCAUCAUGUAAAUACUUAGGAACGUGUUAUUUUCUUUUGCAUAACUCCAUGCUCAAUAUCAUAUUCCACUCGUCCGUACUAAUACCAUAACGAAACUUGAUGAGUGUCCGCGCUCUUCCUAAAAUCACCCUUUAAAUUCGGAAAGGCUUAUUUGCGAUAAAAUUAGUUGAUCAGCUAAUAUUCUAAACCAUUCAUGAACAUCACAACAAAAAUGAUUAAAACAUUUAUAGCUCCUACGUAAAUAAGUAGCUGCGCAGCAGCUACAAAAUAGGAGUUAGAUAGAAUAUAGAAUAACGAUGUACAAACAAGAACCAAUCCUAAGGAAAAGGCAGAAUAAAUUGGAUUGGGAAGUAAUACCACUCCUAGACCCGCUAAUAUAAGACUCGACCCUAGAAAUACUAAAAGAAAAUCAUGUAUUGGUUCAGAUAAAUCCAUUUUUUAUAAAAAAUCAAAAAGGAAGAAUUUCAUGACUUUAUUGACCUGACUUCAUUAAAAUUUUGAAUAGAUCUACAUGCACCUUGGUUGACACGAGUAUAUAAGUCAUGUUAUACUGUUGAAUAACAAGCCUUCCAUUUUCUAUUUUUAUUUGUAGAAAACUAGUGUGCUUGGGANNNNNNNNNNNNNNNNNNNNNNNNNNNNNNNNNNNNNNNNNNNNNNNNNNNNNNNNNNNNNNNNNNNNNNNNNNNNNNNNNNNNNNNNNNNNNNNNNNNNNNNNNNNNNNNNNNNNNNNNNNNNNNNNNNNNAUAACUAGCACUGAAAACCGUCUUUACAUUGGAUGGUUUGGUGUUUUGAUGAUCCCUACCUUAUUGACGGCAACUUCUGUAUUUAUUAUUGCCUUCAUUACUGCUCCUCUAGUAGACAUUGAUGGUAUUCAUGAACCUGUUUCAGGGUAUCUACUUUACGUAAAUAAUAUUAUUUCUGGUGCCAUUAUUCCUACUUUUGCAGCUAUAGGUUUACAUUUUUACCCAAUCUAGGAAGCGGCAUCCGUUGAUGAAUGGUUAUACAAUGGUGCUCCUUAUGAACUAAUUGUUCUACACUGUUG